UACGUAGGUGGCAAGCGUUGUUCGGAAUCACUGGGCGUAAAGGGCGCGUAGGCGGCCUCAGGUGUCGGAUGUGAAAGCCCGGGGCUCAACCCCGGAGGUGCAUCCGAAACUCUGGGGCUGGAGGUCGGAAGAGGAGGGUGGAAUACCCAGUGUAGAGGUGAAAUUCGUAGAUAUUGGGUGGAACACCGGUGGCGAAAGCGGCUCUCUGGUCCGGACCUGACGCUGAGGCGCGAAAGCUAGGGGAGCGAACAGG
rnacentral:rRNA from 1 species